UGUUUUCAUGAGAAUUAAGUUUGACUUAUUUUCCAAAGAGCAAUUUGUAGCCUACUGUCCUGAUAAAAUGGAUUCAUCAUUACACGUUAAUAUUAGAAAGCAGCUCAAUGAGGCCAGCUGGUGGCCUCAUUCCUCAUAGGUGUGAGGAAUGAAACCGAGGGAAGGCCAUUUUAAGUAACAGCUGUCUUUUAUCUUGUCAGCGCUGCCAGUUUUUGUUUAGUAAGCAUUCCAGUUUCUGUAAUAAUUUUAAAUGGAAGAAAGUAAGGAAAAUGUAUGAUAACUGACUUUUUACUCUGAUGUUACCAUAGGGGUAAUGAAGUUCAUCGCAGAUUGUUUUCUAA
rnacentral:lncRNA from 1 species